rnacentral:rRNA from 1 species
GACGAACGCUGGCGGCGUGCUUAACACAUGCAAGUCGAACGGAAAGACCCUGCUUUUGUGGGGUGCUCGAGUGGCGAACGGGUGAGUAACACGUGAGUAACCUGCCCUUGACUUUGGGAUAACUUCAGGAAACUGGGGCUAAUACCUGAUAGGAGCUCCUGCUGCAUGGUGGGGGUUGGACAGUUUCGGCGGUUGGGGAUGGACUCGCGGCUUACCAGCUUGUUGGUGGGGUAGUGGCCUACCAAGGCUUUGACGGGUAGCCGGCCUGAGAGGGUGACCGGCCACAUUGGGACUGAGAUACGGCCCAGACUCCUACGGGAGGCAGCAGUGGGGAAUAUUGCACAAUGGGCGGAAGCCUGAUGCAGCAACGCCGCGUGCGGGAUGACGGCCUUCGGGUUGUAAACCGCUUUCGCCUGUGACGAAGCGUGAGUGACGGUAAUGGGUAAAGAAGCACCGGCUAACUACGUG